rnacentral:rRNA from 1 species
AUUGAACGCUGGCGGCAGGCCUAACACAUGCAAGUCGAGCGAGCGGCGGACGGGUGAGUAAUGUCUGGGAAACUGCCUGAUGGGGGGGGAUAACUACUGGAAACGGUAGGUAAUACCGCAUACCAUCAGAUGGGCCCCGAUGGGAGUAGCUAGUAGGUGGGGGAACGGCUAACCUAGGCGACGAUCCCUAGCUGGUCUGAGAGAAUGACCAGCCAAACUGGAACUGAGACACGGUCCAGACUCCUACGGGAGGCAGCAGUGGGGAAUAUGGCACAAUGGGCGCAAGCCUGAUGCAGCCAUGCCGCGUGUGUGAAGAAGGCCUUCGGGUUGUAAAGCACUUUCAGCGGGGAGGCGUUACCCGCAGAAGAAGCACCGGCUAACUCCGUGCCAGCAGCCGCGGUAAUAC